GAUGCACGCUAGCUACAGGCUUAACACAUGCAAGUCGAGGGACCGGCGCACGGGUGAGUAACACGUAUCCAACCUGCUCUUUACUCGGGGAUAGCCUUUCGAAAGAAAGAUUAAUACCCGAUAUCAAGGAUGGGGAUGCGUUCCAUUAGGUUGUUGGUGAGGUAACGGCUCACCAAGCAUUCGAUGGAUAGGGGUUCUGAGAGGAAGGUCCCCCACAUUGGACAUGGGACAAAGUCCAAACUCCUACGCGAGGCAGCAGAAAGGAAUAGUGGUCAAUGGGCGGUAGCCUGAACCAGCCAAGUAGCGUAAGGGAUGAAGGCUUAUGAGUCGUAAACUUCUGUUAUAGAAGAAUAUGUAUUAUAUGAAUAAGGAUCGGCUAACUCCGUGCCAGCAGCCGCGGUAAUAC
rnacentral:rRNA from 1 species